rnacentral:rRNA from 1 species
GGAUUAGAUACCCUGGUAGUCCACGCCGUAAACGAUGUCGACUAGCCGUUGGGUCCUUCGCGGACUUUGUGGCGCAGUUAACGCGAUAAGUCGACCGCCUGGGGAGUACGGCCGCAAGGUUAAAACUCAAAUGAAUUGACGGGGGCCCGCACAAGCGGUGGAGCAUGUGGUUUAAUUCGAUGCAACGCGAAGAACCUUACCUACCCUUGACAUCCUCGGAAUCCGCCAGAGAUGGCGGAGUGCCUUCGGGAACCGAGAGACAGGUGCUGCAUGGCUGUCGUCAGCUCGUGCCG